rnacentral:rRNA from 1 species
GAUGAACGCUGGCGGCGUGCCUAAUACAUGCAAGUCGAGCGAACAGAUGAGGAGCUUGCUCCUCUGACGUUAGCGGCGGACGGGUGAGUAACACGUGGAUAACCUACCUAUAAGACUGGGAUAACUUCGGGAAACCGGAGCUAAUACCGUAUAAUAUAUUGAACCGCAUGGUUCAAUAGUGAAAGACGGUUUUGCGGUCACUAAUAGAUGGAUCCGCGCCGCAUUAGCUAGUUGGAAAGGUGACGGCUUGCCACGGCAACCAUGCGUAGCCGACGUGAGAGGGUGGUAGCACACACUGGAACGGGGACAGGGUCCAGAGUCCUACGGGAGGCAGCAGUAGGGAAUCUUCCGCAAUGGGCGAAAGCCUUACGGAGCAACGCCGCGUGAGUGAUGAAGAUCUUCGGAUCGUAAAACUCUGUUAUGAGGGCAGAACAAAUGUCUAAGUAACUAUGCACGUCUUGACGGUACCUAAUCAGAAAGCCACGGCUAACUACGUG